CGUGCAGGUGGUCGAGUAAGUCAGAUGUGAAAGCCUUUUGCUUAACAGAAGAAGUGCAUUUGAAACUGCUCGGCUAGAGUACGGGAGAGGAGAGUGGAAUUCCCGGUGUAGAGGUGAAAUUCGUAGAUAUCGGGAGGAACACCAGUGGCGAAGGCGGCUCUCUGGUCCGAUACUGACGCUGAGACGCGAAAGCGUGGGGAGCAAACAGGAUUAGAUACCCUGGUAGUCCACGCCGUAAACGAUGGGCACUAGGUGUAGGAGGUAUUGACCCCUUCUGUGCCGAAGCUAACGCAUUAAGUGCCCCGCCUGGGGGAGUACGGCCGCAAGGCUAAA
rnacentral:rRNA from 1 species